rnacentral:rRNA from 1 species
UACGUAGGCAGCAAGCGUUGUUCGGAGUUACUGGGCGUAAAGGGUGCGUAGGCGGCUCUAUAAGUAUGGUGUGAAAUCUCCCGGCUUAACUGGGAGGGUGCGCUAUAGACUGUGGGGCUAGAGUGUGGGAGAGGAAAGUGGAAUUCCUGGUGUAGCGGUGAAAUGCGUAGAUAUCAGGAGGAACACCGGUGGUGUAAACGGCUUUCUGGACCAUAACUGACGCUGAGGCACGAAAGCGUGGGGAGCGAACAGG